UGGGGAAUAUUGCACAAUGGGCGAAAGCCUGAUGCAGCGACGCCGCGUGAGGGAUGACGGCCUUCGGGUUGUAAACCUCUUUCAGCAGGGAAGAAGCGAAAGUGACGGUACCUGCAGAAGAAGCGCCGGCUAACUACGUGCCAGCAGCCGCGGUAAUACGUAGGGCGCAAGCGUUGUCCGGAAUUAUUGGGCGUAAAGAGCUCGUAGGCGGUUAGUCGCGUCUGCUGUGAAAACUCGAGGCUCAACCUCGGGCUUGCAGUGGGUACGGGCUGACUAGAGUGCGGUAGGGGUGACUGGAAUUCCUGGUGUAGCGGUGGAAUGCGCAGAUAUCAGGAGGAACACCGAUGGCGAAGGCAGGUCACUGGGCCGCAACUGACGCUGAGGAGCGAAAGCAUGGGGAGCGAACAGGAUUAGAUACCCUGGUAGUCCAUGCCGUAAACGUUGGGCACUAGGUGUGGGUCCAUUCCACGGAUUCCGUGCCGCAGCAAACGCAUUAAGUGCCCCGCCUGGGGAGUACGGCCGCAAGGCUAAAACUCAAAUGAAUUGACGGGGUC
rnacentral:rRNA from 1 species